UAUGAAUGUAUGUGUGUGUGUGUGUGUGUGUGUGUGUGUAUGCUUAGUGUAACCCGUGACACCCAAAUUUUGUAUAACUUGUCUAUCAAUGGACCAGUAAUUUCAGAAGUGUAGAUUCGUCCUAAGAGAGAGAUUUUGCAACAGCAGUGAACACACAGACACAAGAUUUAAGGAUUGUUCAAAGGGUCCGAUUAACGGGCGGCUCGCCAGUCCAACUUUUCCGUUACACACACAGUUGAGACGAUUCACACUCCAGGAAGGGUUCACACUUCACUCGAUUCGCAGAUAAGCGGACUAUAUUCUGUGGCUGAACAUCAGCAAGACAUCACACAGAACAAACCCAAGAAGAAAAAAAAUAAAACCCGGCCAAGGAAACUCAGUCUAAUGUACAUAUAAGGAAGGAAAAUCCUGAUGGUAACUGGUUGAAGAUACACUCUCAACCGUGCUCCGCUUUUCUCUCAAUCGUUUAGGAAGCACUAAAUCUCCCGGAGCAGUAAUGGACGUCUGCUCUCGGCUCAAGUUCACGGAGAAAAGAAAGAUCCAGAACACUAUGCGUUGCAAACCUGCCGCGAUCGCGUACGACGUAUUGACGUCAUGCAAAAAGCGAUUUCAUUGGACGCCACUAUCCUAAUCCUGCAUAUUUUACUUUUAUUUUUUUUUUCAUAAAUAGUUAAUUUAAUUAGGCAUAUAUUUUAUUCUGGCAGUGUUUUCUUUUUUUUUCAUACUUCACAUCGAUCAUACAGUUUGCUGUUUGUUCUAUGAUUCUGCCUCUGCUACUACUCACUAGUAAGCUGGGUUACAUUAGUCUUCUCAGUGUACUCUUGUCAAUUAGUAGGUACUGUUUAAUAAAUUUUGUUUCAUUAUUACGAAUUCUCGUUUGUGUGUUAUGUGACUGGAAAGUUAAACUCAUGCCCAGAUCUGUUGCUACCUGCUCGAGGUAAAGCUAAAAUCAGAUAAAAGUUUUUAAUUCGUUUCAGAACCGGUUUAGAGUGGAAUGUUUGUGUAAACAAGAUUCAGCAUGUUCGCUCCUCUUGUAGCAAAGUCCAUAUGCUGAUAGAAUGUGGGGAGCACUCUUUUGAGAUUUGCAUUAUUCAAAUCUCUGGCGAUGAUAAACAGUUCAUCGCGGUGAGCAUUCUGCAGCUCACUAAUAGCCCGUGUACCCUCGCUUCCUCGAACACUGCUUGGGACGUCCUCUUCCCCGGCCUUCAGCAUAAGGUGACAGCGAGGAUUGAGGGCCUGGUCUGCACAGCAAGCAGAGGUCACAGAGUCUGCGUACAAUGUCGUCAUGCAGAUUAGUGAGCAGUUUCAGUGUCAGGUUGUCGUAUGCGUGGACACAACUGUUGUUGGUGUCCAUGCCCUGCAGAAUUCCAGCUGAAAC